rnacentral:antisense_RNA from 1 species
UUCAAUGGUGGCUCGUGCGGGGCUCCCGAAAGGGAGGCCGGUAGCCAGACUGUCCGGUAACGCCAACCCUGCACGGGCUACCACCCAA